CCAUAAUAAUGGCCGCUGUCGGUGCUGUCUGCGCGGCGGCCCGUCGCCGUGAUAUAUGGGGGUCAGCGGGCCGGGACUGCGCGCUCACGAGCGGCCCGGUGAGCAGCCGAGCCCGGUACUGAGGCGGACAGAAACCCGGAGAGGAAACAGCUACAGCCUGCUGCUAAAACCCCAUCAUUCAUACAGAUGUGAGGCUGUCACCGGGAUUACAUGGCUCGACGUGACCGCGCAACUGGAAGAUUAUCCCACGUUGCCUUUCGCCACCGCACCUGAACUUUUCCCUGACCCGGGCAGAGGCGAGGAGUGGGGAGUUAUUUAGGGGCUCAAAACAAGGAGAAGACGAAAAUCAAAGGCUCUCAGCUGGUCGCCUGUACUUUUUCACUUUUUCAUGCACUGUUUUCCAGACCUCCUCGAAAAAGUAGCACGUGAUUGAUUAUGUUUUAAAUUUCAACACAUUUAGCAUAAAACAAACGAUUUGCUGAUAUUUACACAAACCAGGGCUCCUUAUCACUGUCGGCAAAAAGGAGUGAGAGUUGCAGACCUGUGGAUGUUGGCCAUGGAGAGGUCCAUAUCUUCCCACAAUGUUGACAAUCGGAGCUCUUAACAGUCAUACUUUGGUUACCGAUAGUCUGAACAGAAGAUAACUCUUUCUGUGAGGUUUACUCCGGACAACAUCAAGGCAAAGGCGGAAUCCAACAGCCCUACCCUGCGAGGAGAGUCUUCUUUAAUAUGUGCAGACCAACACUGGAGGAGCGGAACUGUUUGUUUAUAGUUGUAAUAAAGUGAUUUUGAAGUCA